UACUAGCUUUGUGACCUUGGGGCAGAUU
rnacentral:piRNA from 1 species